CACCAAUACGUUGCCAGCUCCAUC
rnacentral:miRNA from 1 species